UAGUCUGGCUUCCAGCAGAGGCAGAAGUGAAUAACAAGCCAAUCAACGUGCUAAAUAUUGAACAGAGCAGCUCAGCACACAGCAUCAGCCAAACGGGAGAUUAGCAUGUGGCUGCGGACAGGACGAACUCAGGAUAUGUUGGGCAUGACUAAGAACAGAGGCCCAGCCAUAAACCCCAUAGCUGGGAGUUUCACCAAAGGUAAGGGAACUUUUUAGGUUUUGUUUCUUCUGUUUGAAAAAAAACUGUAUUGCUUUGUGCUAUGAUGAUUGCACAAGUUUUGUUAUUUUUUUGUGAUUCUUGGUCAGAAAACUUGCUGGAGCCAGAGGUUUGCCCAUGACAAUCUCUGGGCUCCUGCAGAGAUUAUGGAGGGUGGAAAGUAAAGGGUGGAAAGGAUUAUGGAGGAUGGAAAGUAAAACAGAAAUGGAAGAGCCUUCUUUCCUCAAAUAUUACAGGGGAAGUUUGCAACCACAGCAAGUUGUAAAGCCUGGAAGUUGAGGAAAGUAGAGCAGAUUUAUCUAAAAGCAACGCUGGCUUUACACAAAUGCUUGUGACCAGAGAAUUCAGAUUCUUUUGGCUGAAAAUGUGCCUGCAGUCUGAGCUGUACACAGAACGCAGCUCUGGAUUUGGCAGAUUGAGCAAAAGAAGACUUUAGCAGAAUCUCUAGGUACUUGAAGAAACUAGGUCAAGAACAGCAAGGUAGAUAGUUGCUGAAUAAAAUAUUUUUUAGAUUCUGAUUUUAAUUAAAAUAAAGCAUAACUACUCCAUUGUGGCACCACUACAGUUUACAAUUCUUUCUUAAUUUAUUUAAUGAAUCAAAGCAGAUAAAUCAGUGCUUGCAAAUAGUGCUUGCAAAGUCUCCUAGAUUAAGAGACAAAACUCAGAUAACCUUCACCAAAUACAUUAAUAAAACCAGAAUUA